rnacentral:rRNA from 1 species
CCUACGGGUGGCAGCAGUGAGGAAUAUUGGUCAAUGGGCGAGAGCCUGAACCAGCCAAGUCGCGUGAAGGAUGAAGGAUCUAUGGUUUGUAAACUUCUUUUAUAUGGGAAUAAAGUGAGGAACGUGUUCCUUUUUGUAUGUACCAUAUGAAUAAGCAUCGGCUAACUCCGUGCCAGCAGCCGCGGUAAUACGGAGGAUGCGAGCGUUAUCCGGAUUUGUUGGGUUUAACGGGUGCGUAGGUGGGUAAUUAAGUCAGCGGUGAAAGUUUGUGGCUCAACCAUAAAAUUGCCGUUGAAACUGGUAGACUUGAGUAUAUUUGAGGUAGGCGGAAUGCGUGGUGUAGCGGUGAAAUGCAUAGAUAUCACGCAGAACUCCGAUUGCGAAGGCAGCUUACUAAACUAUAACUGACACUGAGGCACGAAAGCGUGGGGAUCAAACAGGAUUAGAUACCCUAGUAGUC